rnacentral:rRNA from 1 species
UUAGGAAGAUCCUGGGUCAGGAUGAACGCUAGCGGCAGGCUUAACACAUGCAAUUCGAGGGGAAGCGCGGGGUAGCAAUACUCUGGCGGCGACCGGCGAAAGGGUGAGUAACGCGUGAGCAACAUGCCCGGUACUGGGGGAUAGUCAUUGGAAACGAUGCGUAAUACCCCGUAACAACAGAGACCGCAUGAUCUUUGUUUGAGAGAUUCAUUGAUACCGGAUUGGCUCGCGUACCAUUAGCUAGUUGGCGGGGGAAGGGCCCACCAAGGCGACGAUCUGUUUUUGGUUCUGAGAGGAGGCCGCGCCCACAUGGAACUGAGACACGGUCCAAACUCCUACGGGAGGCAGCAGUGAGGAAUAUUGGUCAAUGGACGGGAGUCUGAACCAGCCAAGUAGCGUGCAGGAUGACGGCCCUAUGGGUUGUAAACUGCUUUUAUCGGGGGAUAAAGUGAGGGACGUGUCCCCUUUUUGUAGGUACCCGAUGAAUAAUGACCGGCUAAUUCCGUGCCAGCAGCCGCGGGUAAUACGGAAUGGUCCCGGCGUUAUCCCGGAUUUUAUUGGUCUAAAGGGAGCGCAAGGCCGAUGGGUUUAGCGUGAACGUGUAAUGUAGCCGCUCAAACGGCCUGCACUGCGUCACGGACUGCCUAAUCUGGGAGGUGAGUCCGAUGGUCUGGGCGGAAUCUCCAUUGGAGUGUAG